CCCUGACCUCGGCUGACCAGCACUCUGAGCUUUACAAUGUAUUGGAAUGUAUAACCUUAUAUGGUUUGUGGGUGGGUAAAAGCCUUGACCGGAUGAGGUAACGUGAGACACUGGCAAACAGCCAUGCGGCUGGAGAGGGACAAAGGAAUAAAGAAGUUUGCAGGAGGAGGAGAGGGAAGUUCGAGGGGAGCUGCUCCUACCAUCAUGAAAAUAUUGCUGGCUCUCUGUGUCAUAAUUUUAUGCUAAACUUCGCCAUUUGUACGGCUGGCUCCGACACUACCCAAGAUUCUUCCACGUUAAGUGAUGUUCAGUUUAAGAUUGACUAGCUACUGAUGAUGCUACUUUGUCAUUUGAGGUGAAACAAAAGACUCAAGACUUUAGCAUAGCUAAAAGAACAUCAGCAGGCAAAAGAACACAAGCUUUCAAGCCAUACAAGAAGUUUGUCUUCAGAUAUGGGAAAUAAAUAAAAAAUCCCAUCUCCUAUAGGACAUCAAAGCUGACACUAUCUCUCAGAAACACAAUUUGGUCCAAAAGAAAGGCAGCAGUUUAACAUUUUUGAUACUACAUUAUCUGCAACCAACAAUGCUAGUACUAGACUGGAGGGUGAAAGAGAAAUCUAACGACAGAAUGAAAUGCUGACCAAAGUGCUCAGUUAUCCCCAAGGACACAUAAAACAGGUAAAUCGUUAAUAUUGGAACAAACAAUAUUGCUCAGCUAAAUUAUGACCGCAAUAGGCUAUAGCAGCCUUCUCAGCUGUUCUAACGCCUUCACUACAUCCACAGUGUGACUUGCACUGGUAUACUUCAUGUUCUAUCUGCUAUUCUCAUUCUCAUUGUUUGCCACUCCAUUGUGCCCAUGGCAACAUGAAUCUAGAUUUAUUCUAACAAUGUAAGAUGAUGAUGACUUGGAACUUGCCCCAUGCUUUACUAAACUAUGGGACUUACUGCCUGCUUUGAUAUUGCAUGAGGAGAAUAUUUUCUUCUUCUUUAAGCUUUUUCAUUGUCCAGCCAUUCUCCAUAGCUACAAACAAGGCUCUUGGAUACCUUUUGCAGCAAUGGGGAUUUCCUUCCCAUAGAAAAUGCAUGUGGCACUCUUUCUAGCAUUGUACCUGGUGGUAGCUUUCAAAGUUAUGUAUUCGAUUCCUAAUCAUAGAAAGUGUGAUGGAACAGCAAGGGAACGGGAAAGGUGACUCGGUAUUUAGCAUAGACCAAUCUUAACAAUUAACUGCGGACAACUUUGAACCAAGGAACUUUGGGACAUAGCUCUAGCUAGGCUGGAAACAGAUAUUUUUUCGCCCCAGAGACUUUUAGACAGUAUGAGACAGGCAUUGUUGCUCACAAUGUGUACAUUCAUCACAAUGUUAUCUUGGAGGAACAGGCUUUACGGACAUUUGUAGUGCUUCAAAAAUCUGUAAACCUGUUCCACCAAAUGGGACAGUGAGAUUAAAAAGAAAAAGAAUGUCUCUCUCUCUCUCUCUCUCUCUCUCUCUCUGUGUGUGUGUGUGUGUGUGUGUGUGUGAGAGAGAGAGAGAGAGAGAGAGAGAGAACAAUAAAGUAUCCAUCAUGGCAUCUACAACUUUAAAAAACACUCUUGCCUGUUUUCAUCCUAAGCAUGCUCCUGUCAAUUGAUGUAUAAAAUCAGAAGAAUUUCCUUUACUCAAGAAAGCAGAUAUACCUAUGAUACAAAAUGAAUAUGAUUGCACAUAAUACUUCUUGUGUACUGAAUAAUGUAGUGCAGCUGUCCAGAAUCAUUUUGAAGAAGUCAUCUAUACUACAACCAGAGACUGGGAACUAACAUACCAUUACCUAAAUUUAAAGGUUUAGGAAAGCAUUAUGAGCAAAGCAGCAAGCCAAUUAAAGUUAUUCCACUUCCUAAUUAGUGAACAUUGUUUGGGGUCUAACAAAACCACAACAAUAGAUUUAGUAUGAUUGUAUGUUGGAUAUGAAUACCACCACAGGAGGUAAAGUAUGUAUCUCAUUUAAGAGAGCAGGGAAGAACAAGAGUGUAAAUUAUGAUGAAGGAGAAAGGGAGUAUUGAGUAAAAUUAGACAAUGGUGACAGGGAAGGGUUAAAAGUUUCUUAAACCAUAUAGUUUUAUAUAUGGUUGCCAGAUGUGAAUUUGCAAAAAUUGAUAGAUGCACUAAUUAUCUUGGCUGUACUUGAGGUAUAUACCAUGUGAACAUUAAAUUAAGCCUUAUGAACAUUUCUGCAGCAGCUCUUUUUUAAAAAAAGAAAGAAAAAGUAAUAAGCAAUAUGUAAAAUAAUAUGCAAAAUCCAGAUAUAUCAAUUCAUGCUUGCAGGGAUUCACAAGGUAGGCAUCCAAGAACAUUGUACUUUACAUUUUCAUAGAAUCUAAAAUGUGUCUUAGAAAAAGAACCAGAAAGGUGGGGGGGGGGAGUCUACAAACUGCAAUCUGAAAGCUCACACUUGCUGACAGCAACGCAGAUUAAUUAAAUGUCGUUCAGAAUUACAUUAGCAUAUGACACCAGCCUAACCUAUUUGUAAAGAAGAUUGCAUUACUGGCUUUUCACUACUGCAGUUGUCCAGCAUGACAUUCUUUCAGAAUACUUUCCAGGGGGCAGCCAUAUUCUGUUGCAGCAGAAACAACAAAAGGUCUUGUGGCCCCUUACAUUAAAGACUCUCAAAUUCUUUAUGGCAGAGGUUUUCAUGUACUGCCUCUAGUCCAUGAGAGAUCAUGCCGUAAUAAAUGUGCUGGCCUUUAAAGUGCUACGCUGGAGUGAACUGGCCCAGGUGAGGUAAACCUUGCCGACCCCUGCUCCAGCACCAUUUAAAGCCCAUCAACUGCACAAUGGAAGUUGUGUGAAGAAGGCUAAUGUUUUCUCCCCCGCCCUCCCUGUUUCACAAUUUUUAGUGAGUUUACCUUUGUUCUAAUCACUCAGCUUAGUGUGUGUGAUAGCCACUAUUACUUCAUUCUGGGACACUUUAGAUGCACUAUCAUGUUGCGUAUCAUUGAAAAUUACAACAACACACACACUUUUUGUCUUUUUAAAACAACCUCACGGUGUUGUAGCUUUACACAUUUCUUUAAUGAAGCACUAAAACCGGCCAUUCUGGAGUUUUUGAUAGCGGUGCAUCAAACCACUCACACAGGGCCCAUAGAUCAGGACAUUUAUAGCAUAAACAUGUGAACAUAGAUAGCAUAAAUAUGUGAACACCGACAGGAAAUUGAAAGAGGAUGAAUUCGUGCCACUGCUACGCAUAUUUGUGUACAUUUAAAAAGUCCCUUAUUAAUAGUUCCCAGAUCUUGGGCAGGAGAAAUUAUGUUAAGGACAUCUUUGUACACUGACAAAAGACAUUUGAAAAUACAGUGGUACCUUGGUUCUCGAACUUAGGUAAUCUGUUCCGGGAGUCCGUUCAACUCCCGUUCGAAAACCAAGGCAUAGCUUCCAAUUGGCUGCAGGAGCUUCCUGCAAUCAAGUGGAAGCUGUGUUGGACGUUCAGCUUCCAAAAAACGUUCACAAACUGGAACACUUACUUCUGGGUUUGCGGCGUUCGGAAGCCAAUUUGUUCAACAACUAAGCCAUUCAAGAACCAAGGUACCACUGUAUUCUUACUUCUCUACCAUUUUAAGACAAAUGAACCAGAUAUUUAGCGCUAUAUGCAGAACUUUUAACUGCUUAGCAGGUAACUGAUAAAGACGUUUAUUUUCAGCACAACCCACUCACUAUUACUGGUUUAUUGCAUAAGAUCAUCUAAACUUUGCCUAGCUUUCUCCUUUCCCUUUUGAAAUUGGCAAUCAUAUUGUCUUAUAGAUUUCCCAGUGUGGCAGAAGCCCUGUGGAUUUGUACUACAAAAGCCUGUGCUAAACACACCACAGUAAACCACAAAAACUAAAACCCACACAGUGCAAACACAUAUUUAACUUAGCUAUUUAAGUACUAUUCAAGAUACACAUAAUUCAGUAAGUGUAAACAUUUUAAAUAUACAAAUUGUUCAGAGAGAAAUACUUUUUCCCAUUAGUUGUGGGACUAAAUGUUUCGAAAUGUGUGCUUACUUUGGAUAACAUAUAUAUGUGUGUGUAUACACACACACACACACACACACACACACGUAUAUAUAUAUUUAAGAUGAUGUCAUGCUUUUUAAAAAGGAAAUAGCACUGAAAAGAUUUUCUGCCUGAGUAGGCGGAAGAGUGAUUAGGGCAGCAGGUUUUCUUGAAAGUAAAUGAAGCAUCAAAUGCAGUGGCUCCAUGCCAGGCUCACAAAAUAUAACUAAUAACUUCCCUUAGAUGCACUAGUCAUCUUUUAUUUAGUGAUGCCUUACUUGAGUUCUGGAAAAUUCAGUUUUCCAAGCAAAUAUAGGGCUGUGCAUACCAAUGAAAUGAGACUUUGUGAUAUGCUAACAAAUAGUACAUUGGAUACAAGUAGGAUGGGAGAAUCUCUCUAAUUUUAGUCCAUGCUUUUAUUUGCAUGCAUUUGCUUAUAAAUCUGUUCCAUCUCAUUUCUGUGUAUAUCUGUUUAAUUAUUAUUAUUUUUUUUGGGGGGGGGGUUAAAUUGCAUGUUAAAUAAGUAUUUUAAUCAGUGCUAUUUUUCUCCACCAGUAGUACCUCCCUUGUUCUCUUAUAAUGGCAAUGGCACGUACCGAAAUUGAGUCUUGGAGAGUUCCAGCUUGGGGAAAAAAUGUUAAUUUCUCCCAAAAUGCACAUGGCUAACUCUGCAGUUCUGUGCAUUUUACUCAGAACUAAGUAACAAUGAGUUCAAUGGCACUUCUUCCCAGGUUAAUAAAUGCAGAAGUACAAACCAACAUGGCAAUCUUACACCCAUUUUCCUGGGAUUAAGCCUUACUUAAUUUAUACAGGGUGAGUCCUUUAAAAGAGGCCCCAUGGAUACAGAGUAGAUACAUGUUCCACGGGGCCUCUUUUAAAAGACUCACCCUGUACAAACUCGGUGACUUUUUUCUAGGAAAAAAGGUGGCCGGUAUUCACCAUGAAGUACCCUUCUUGGCCGACUGGCUGCAGCUGCUGCUGCAUGGGCCGUGCUGUGGACUGGGCUCAGGGCAGGAUGAGUGCCCAUCGAGUGCCCCGAGCGGGGCUCACAGCUGCCAGGUGAUGUGGCCUUCUGCCUCUGCACCAACCACAGAGGCAAGGAAGCCAGAGUCCUCUUGCUGCUGCCCGGCCUGGACGCAGCUGCCACCACAGACCUGACUCACCUGCUGACCGCCUUCCACCAGUCUCGGAGCUGGCUAAGUAGCGAUGGAAGGUUCAGUGGCAGCCUGGCAGCUUCUUGCACCACAGGACGAGAGCAAGGAGGAAGUGCCUCCACCAGGACUGGCAGGGCUGAAUAGCCCGCCACCAUGGGUAUGGAAGAAAAGGUAAACACUCCUAACACGCUCACUUUAGAAGCCAAGAUGGGGAGGGGAGGACCUCCAGAAAAAUAAGUGUCACGGUCCGGUUCACGAGCGAUCAAAGUCCCGGCUGUGGACAUCAGGACCGGGGGCAAGUUGGCGGGGUGGGAGCAGGAACAGGAGUCCAGAAGCCAGGAGUCAGGAAGCCAAGGGUCCGAGGGUCAGGAAGCAAGGAGUCAUGAAAUCAAGGGUCCGAGGAUCAAGAAGCAAGGAGUCAAGCAGCCAAACGCAGCAAGGCAGGGAAUAUGUUGCUGUGGCAAAGAGCCGAAGGGAAAUGCUGACCUUAUAUCCCUUCCCAGCUCUUGCCACCAGGUGCAGUGAGUUACCAAUCAGCCUCACUUGUGCAGCCAUGCCUUGCCUCUUCAGAACAAACUUAGGAAGGCCCCAGUCCUGCAAAGUCCUACUGGUCACAGGGCCUGGCUCCUGCAUGCACUCCUGACAAUAAGCAAUGAUGAGACUUACAGCUAAGUAGAUACAGUGGUACCUCUGGUUUUAAGUACUUAAUUCAUUCCGGAGGUCCGUUCUUAACCUGAAACUGUUCUUAACCUGAAGCACCACUUUAGCUAAUGGGGCCUCCUGCUGUUGCGGCACCGCCACUGCAUGAUUUCUGUUCUCAUCCUGAAGCAAAGUUCUUAACCCGAGGUACUAUUUCUGGGUUAGUGGGGUUUGUAACCUGAAGCAUAUGUAACCUGAAGCCUAUGUAACCCGAGGUACCACUGUGCUGGAAGUGUAUUUUUUAAUCAGAAUACACGGUGUCUAUUUAUUUUUGGGUGGUCUACAGCCAGAACCAGACAGACAAAAAGAACCACACAUACCUUUCCCCCCACGCACCUACUACAGAUGUAGAUGUAUUUAAUGCAUGAACACACACACAUCUGACACUAACACAGCCCUGGCUCUCUUCCCCUCCAAGCUCUCGUAGAGGAGGCACACGAAGAAGGGCCUCAAGUGAUGAUUGCAGGGUCCGGGUCAGUUCAUAAGGCAAGAGGUGGUCCUUGAAGUAUAAUUACAUUAUUUCAGGCCUUAAGUCACACACAUUAUGAGUUAUAUGUGAUCAACACCCCUUUAAAACGGAGCAAGUUUUCACAAAGCCAUUACUCUGGCAGGAUGAAUUUCAUAUAUACCGCACUGAGUUUGUCUUGCAUGCUGGAAGAAGUUAGCUUGGGAGAUUUACAGCCAAAGACUGGGCCUAGCAGUUCACCAUAAACUCAAUUUAUCUCUGAUAUUACUUUAGCAGAUAGUUCUACAAGGUAGGGGGAAAAUAUGCAGUAGGAUUCAUUAAUUCUUUGGCAUAUGUGGCUGGGUACAAAGGAUAUAUAGCUUUGACAUGCACAUUUCAUUGUGAACUGACUUUAUUCCAGGAUUGACAUGAACAUAUAUCUCUAUAUAUGCUAUUGUCAUUUGUGGUGUGUGGAUCCCUCUCUUUCUUUUUACCUUUUAGACUUGUAUACCUAAACAGCAACUUUUAUAUCUAUCCUUGUCCCAUAAACACAUGCACAAGAUUGAGCUGGCUAACCUCUUCUUGGAUAUUCAAAAGAACCACAAAUGCAUGCACUUGACUUUCAGGCUGAAUAGAAUUCCAGUACAUGCAUGCGCAACACAAUCCUAACUGUGUACAAGAGCCCUCAGCACAUGCACUUGUACAGGCAGAAGCCCAAUUCAGAUUCUCAGAUGAAUACAGUAGUACCUCCGGUUGCUACGGUCGGAUCGCGAGGUUUCCACAACUGGAGUGACUGCUUCUGUGCAUGUGCGCACGGCAAAAAUCCAGAAAUAUACUUCCGGGUUUGCCGCUUAUGUAUCCUGAAGUUUACGUAACCUGAGGGAUACGUAAGCGGUGGUACGACUGUAUGUGUAGGUCAGUGGUGGAUCCUACCACCACAGUUCAGGCAUGCCCAUUUGAAAUGUGCUUUACUGUCAGUCUGAACCAGGGUGGAUUUGAUUUAAAUCAAAUCAAUUUAAAUCACAAGUCAGUAAGACAUGAUUUAAAUCUCUCUUUUCUACAGAAAGACUCAUUCUUGCUGGUAUAAUCUUAAUAUUUACAACCAGAUGAAGGUUUCAUUUUUGGAAUAAUAAAUUUUUAGAGUAGUUUUUACAGUUAUAUAAAAAAUCACUGAUUUGGCUAUACUAAUAGAAUUACAUUAUUGUGAUGUUUAAUAAGUUAACUGUUUAUAUUUGGACAACUUUUCUGCUGUACUUUAUUGGAAAGAGAAAAACAAUCAUUUCCUUCAUAACAAUUUAAACAAUUUAUUUAACUAAAAUAAUAACAUUAUAGCAUAUGUAUCCAUGUUUCUUAACUGAUGUGGUUAAACAAACAAACAAACACCUUAGACUGAGUUUUAGCACACAUGAUUUUUUUUUAACAAAUUCUUAUUUCCUGAUGGACUAUAAUGUAACUUAAAUAGAAAACUAUCUUUAGAAAGAUUCCCCCCCCCCAGCAUUUUAUUUUAAAAAUCCAAUUUAAAUAAAAAAAAUCCAAUUUAGAUUAAAAAAUCCAAGUUUUUUUUUUAAAUUAAUAAUUAAUUUUUAUCCACCCUAGUCUGAACCCUGUGUCUGCAGCAGGUUAUUAAACCAGGUUCACAUUACAGAUAUUGCAAGUAUUCCUGAGAAAACAUACCUGCUGUGAUAUUCUUUAUCUAUUGUUAUCAGUAGUCUUUUAACAUUUAAAACCUACUGAUAAUAAGGUUACAUCUGUUCACUAUUUUAAAAUAUUGAAGCACAUGUUUUUUCCUCAAUAGUCCUGAAUUUGAGAAAACAGCCAGAUUUGACAGCAUUUGGCUGUUCUGUACAACCAGCACUGUCACAGCCAGAAUACAUCUUGAGACCUUCUGCAAGAUCCUGCACAAGCUUCUGAGACCUUGUACAACUUUUGGGACAUGGUACUAAACACUUCAACACCUUUUGCAAACUGAAGCAUGCUUCUUUUCUCAUGCAAGAAAUUUUGUGCUAUGUCAGAAAAAGCUGUUCUGCAAAUGGAAGAUGCCAUUCACUUUCAGAAGAAAAUUGGACCCAACACAUUGUCUUUCCUCUGAAAUCUUAACCAGAGUACAACCAAGUCCACUGCGUUUAGUCAAACCUUUUCCCAUUUAAACAUGUAAAGGGACUGCAUUGUUAGACAUCCA